GACGAACGCUGGCGGCGUGCUUAACACAUGCAAGUCGAACGGAAAGGCCCUGCUUUUGUGGGGUGCUCGAGUGGCGAACGGGUGAGUAACACGUGAGUAACCUGCCCUUGACUUUGGGAUAACUUCAGGAAACUGGGGCUAAUACCGGAUAGGAGCUCCUGCUGCAUGGUGGGGGUUGGAAAGUUUCGGCGGUUGGGGAUGGACUCGCGGCUUAUCAGCUUGUUGGUGGGGUAGUGGCUUACCAAGGCUUUGACGGGUAGCCGGCCUGAGAGGGUGACCGGCCACAUUGGGACUGAGAUAAGGCCCAGACUCCUACGGGAGGCAGCAGUGGGGAAUAUUGCACAAUGGGCGGAAGCCUGAUGCAGCAACGCCGCGUGCGGGAUGACGGCCUUCGGGUUGUAAACCGCUUUCGCCUGUGGCGAAGCGUGAGUUACGGUAAUGGGUAAAGAAGCACCGGCUAACUACGUG
rnacentral:rRNA from 1 species